UCAUAGGAUUUAUUCAAAUUCAUGAUGUCGUAAGGUAAAAUAAUGAUAAAACCUUACUAUAAGUGUCGUCCAAAUCUGGUGCCAGAAGACUCGGUAAGACCAGAGACGCAAACGUUAAUCAUCAUAAACAGGCGUAAAGGGUUUGUAGGCAGCUUUAAUAAGAUAGUCAAAAGUCUAAAUUUAAAGCUAGAAUCAAAAAGAGGUUAUAGUGUAUAACGCCUAGAGGAGGGCUGAUAUCCAUAGAUCCUAGGCAGAAUACUCAGGGCGAAGGCCACUCUCCACUAAUGAUUGACGCUGAGAAACGAAGGUUAGGGUAGGAAAUAGGAUUAGAUACCCCGGUACUCCUUUCUGUAAACGAUGAAUGGUAGUCAUUAGUUAAAUAACUAGAGGCGAAGUUAACACGAUAACCAUUCCGCCUUGUGAGUACUACUGCAAAGUAGAAAACAAAAAAAUUAGUCGGUCUCGAAGCAAACGGAGUGAAGCAUGUUAUUUA
rnacentral:rRNA from 1 species